AUUGAACGCUGGCGGCAGGCUUAACACAUGCAAGUCGAGCGAGCGGCGGACGGGUGAGUAAUGUCUGGGACACGGCUUGAUGGAGGGGGAUAACUACUGGAAACGGUAGCUAAUACCGCAUACCAUCAGAUGUGCCCAGAUGGGUUUGGCUGGUAGGUGGGGUAAUGGCUCACCUGGGCGACGAUCCCUAUCUGGUCUGAGAGGAUGACCGGCCACACUGGAACUGAGACCCGCCCAGGCCUCCAACGGAAGGCGGCAGUGGGAAUCAUUGCACAAUGGGCGAAAGCCGGCUGCAGCAAGGCCGCGUGUGGAAAGAAGGCCUUCGGGUUGUAAAGCACGUUCAGCGAGGAGGCGUUAAUCGAAGAGGAAGCACCGGCUAACUCCGUGCCAGCAGCCGCGGUAAUAC
rnacentral:rRNA from 1 species